GGUUGGUGCCCAGGCUGUUUAUCUGUGGAGGCACCAAGAGCUUUUUGGAAAUGCAAAGGAAAAAUUUGAGAAUAUUAGAUUUGUGAUUUUAUUAAAUCUGGGCAUCGGCCUUCUUUGGCGCCGCAUCGACAAUUGGGCACAUCUGGGAGGGUUGCUUGGGGGAGCAGCGGUCGAAUGGUUCUACGGUCCAGAUUGGAAAGGGCGCCCGUUGUUUGGCCAAUGAGUAGCACAAGACCACAAUAACGCUCACGGCUUGCACAUAAAUUUAUCGUGCUGGUCCC